GUGCUUGCUUCGGCAGCACAUAUACUAAAACUGGAACGAUACAGAGAUUAGCAUGGCCCCUGUGCAAGGAUGACACGCAAAUUCGUGAAGCUUUCCAUACAAAA
ensembl:snRNA U6 U6 spliceosomal RNA